rnacentral:rRNA from 1 species
UACGAAGGGGGCUAGCGUUGUUCGGAAUUACUGGGCGUAAAGCGCGCGCAGGCGGUCUUCCAAGUCAGUGGUGAAAGCCCGGAGCUCAACUCCGGAAUUGCCAUUGAAACUGUUGGACUUGAGGAUGAGAGAGGUGAGUGGAAUUCCCAGUGUAGAGGUGAAAUUCGUAGAUAUUGGGAAGAAUACCUAUGGCGAAAGCAGGUUUCUGGGCCGUCACUGACGCUGAUCUGCGAAAGCUAGGGGAGCAAACAGG